rnacentral:rRNA from 1 species
UACGGAGGGUGCGAGCGUUGUCCGGAAUCACUGGGCGUAAAGGGCGCGUAGGUGGCGCGGGCAGUCAACGGUGAAAGUUCGGGGCUCAACCCUGAAUCGGCCGUCGAUACUCCCGGGCUUUGAGCACUGUAGAGGCAGAUGGAAUUCCGGGUGUAGCGGGUGGAAUGCGUAGAGAUCCGGAAGAACACCGGUGGCGAAGGCGGUCUGCUGGGCAGUAGCUGACACUGAGGCGCGACACGUGGGGGACAAACAGG